AGAAUCAACGCUGGCGGCGUGCCUAACACAUGCAAGUCGAACGAGAAAGUGGAGCAAUCCACAAGUAAAGUGGCGCACGGGUGAGUAACACGUGACUAACCUACCCUUGAGUGGGGGAUAACCUAGAGAAAUCUGGGCUAAUACCGCAUAAUACCUUCGGGUCAAAGGAGCAAUUCGCUUAAGGAGGGGGUCGCGGCCGAUUAGUUAGUUGGCGGGGUAAUGGCCCACCAAGACUAUGAUCGGUAUCCGGCCUGAGAGGGCGCACGGACACACUGGAACUGAAACACGGUCCAGACUCCUACGGGAGGCAGCAGUGGGGAAUUUGCGCAAUGGGGGAAACCCUGACGCAGCAACGCCGCGUGGAGGAUGAAGCCCCUUGGGGCGUAAACUCCUUUCGAUCGGGACGAUAAUGACGGUACCGAGAGAAGAAGCCCCGGCUAACUUCGUGCCAGCAGCCGC
rnacentral:rRNA from 1 species